AUGGAAAACAGCAAGCACGCGAUGCAUGGUUUUUACAAACCGAACACCCCAAAACUGGAGCGAUUCCAGCAACACCUGGGAGAGAUCGUGCAUCGCGUGCUCCCCUCCCUGGAGAAACACCUGGAGAAGGACAGAGGGAAGACGACUCUUCUGAUGCUGGCACCAGGAGGGCCUGUGGAUAUGGGCUCCUCCACAGGCCUCGGAGCCCCCGGAACCAGGGCCCAUGCAGACCAUCCCAGCCUGGGGGCCACGGCUGAAGACUUCCCUACUGGCAUGGCAGCCCCACGCACUCCGGGGACAGUCACAGGCUGGAGAUGGCCAGAGCCAGCCCUGGGCUGGGAGACCAGGCCCGUGUGCCCUCCCUGGCCCGAGGCCUCCUUACCUCCUAUGCCAUGGGGCACCUGGAUGAUGGGUGCCUCCUGGAAGAGAGGCCAUGCCCACCACGUGUCCUUCCCAGGCUGGGCAGCAGCCUUCCGUGUGUCUUCAUGGCAUCCUAUACACUUGAUUGAGCCCGACCCCCAGGCUUUUCCUGGGGCCAGGACACCCCGUCUCUGGAAGACAACAGCAGUACCAGGAGCCACCACCCCCAACCGCCACCAUCAGGUGGUGCUGACCCCAUGGUUACACUGAAACCUGUUUGCUCCAGUUUGUGACCCCGGCGCCCAGCUGCAGCAGAGCUUCCCCGUGUUCCUGGAGAGUGUAGGUGGCUCCACAGCCCCCAGCCCCAGGCAGAGACCCGCUUAGGACCCUGCAGGCAAUGCCUGAGAUUCACCUGUGCCCUGUGGGGACUGGGUCAGGGUGGGAGAGCAGCAGCCGUGAGUGCCCGUGACCUCUGGGACAGAUCGGCACAAUAGGAACAGUCGUGGUGGGAGGGCCUGAGUCACCUCUAUGCUCUCGUAGACCUGGGCGGCCGUGUGCAGCAUCCCUGGCUUGCCCCCACGUGUCUCUCCCUUCCAUCCUGCACAUUCUGGAACCCAGCUCCUCUUCACCCUGACACCGGGAGAGGGCACCCAGCGUGCUCGGCUGGGUCUAGGGGGAUGCCAGCAGGGCCUUUCUGUACCGUUGAGCCCUGGUGUCUGCACUGAGCUGCGGGGGGAGGGCUGCCAUGGGUGGCGCUGUGGGCUGGCCCCACUCGCCCCAGGCCAGGCCCUGAAGAUGGAUUGACUCUGGGUGUCAGGUGACUUUCAGUUUAUUUAAAACCAGAACAGGAGUCCCACUUAGGGGCCCCUGUGAGGGAAGUGGAGAUUAAGGGGCCAGAGAGAGGAAAAGAGCUUGUGUCAGUGGCUUGGGAUUUUCAUUUGAAAGGAAGGUUCUGCCCUUGAAGAGACAGCUGAAGGGGGUUGGAUAGAGGGCUCUGAUGUGGGCCAGAUGGGGAGAUUUCUGAGAGCAGGCCACAGGGACGUGGACUUCAACACUCAAUUCAGUUCAGCGCCACCAACAUUCGGCUGAGGAGGGGCAGUGACACGGGGUGGGGGUGGGGGCAGAUGUGGGAAAGGCUUAUGAUGGGAGGCUGAAGAGGCCCUUUGGCCAGGACAGGAGCGGCCGGGGGAGGAAGCCAGUUCUGCAGGUGGGUCUAAGUCGGCAUGCAGAUGCCAGGGCUGGAAGUGUCGGGAGACUCUGCUGGGUCUCU
ensembl:lncRNA